UUGCACUCUCUUGCAUGUUUACAAUUUAAUGGAUAUCUGUUACUGUUUAGUAAUCUUUGGUGUAUGACGUAAAUAUCGUAUUUUAAUUAAUUGACUCCUCAUAUCACUCAUGUAUCUUUUAUACCAAGAAAAUGAAUUCCAAAAAAUUCAUGAAAGUUGAUAAAAUAUCAUAUUUAUAGGUCAUUGUACCUUUCGUUGUGAUUUUGAUUAACAUAAGCGAGUUUGUUGGUGGUAAAAUGUCUACUUCAGAGACUGGUGUGGGAUGUAUUAGCGAAGUUACACUUGCUAUUAGUAAAGCAAGGACUUCUCAAGCAGGAUCCAUAAGGGUACUCGACAGUCCUGAUUCGGAUGGAUCUGGCCGUUCGAACUCGUUUUCCAUACAACGAUUUAAUUAUCCUAAUGAGAAUACAAAUUCUAACAUACUUCCACCCCCCUUAACAAACAAUGAUUUAAGAAUACCUAUUGUCGGAUAUGAAGUUAUGGAAGAGAGGGCUAGAUUUACAGUAUACAAACUACGUAUAGAAUUGAAGAAUGGUGAUUGUUGGUUUGUAUUUAGAAGAUAUACAGAUUUUGUACGCUUAUUUGCUCAAUUGAGAAGACAAAAACUUCCAAUUUCUCAUUUGUCUUUACCACAAAAAAAAUGGCUCGGUGACAAUUUUGCACCUAGUUUUUUAGAAGAAAGGAUACGUGGUCUACAAGCAUUUGUUAAUGGGAUAUUAAGUAAUCCAAUUCUCAUAGGUAGUGCUUGUGUUAGACAAUUUUUUUGUCUCGACGAACCACCCGCGUUAUCUGAUACCGCAGAAGAAUCUAGAUGUUUCCUUUUUAGGCAAUUUUUGAAGCAAUGGAAGACACAAUAUAUCAUUUAAGACAACAACUUAGAGAACGAGAUAAUGCUCUGGCAGCAGAAUCCGCACUUUGCAAUGAAUUACAAAAGAAUCUACAUCAGAUGUUAAGCGAAAGACAGAUCUGUCCUAAAUGUGGCGCAAAUCAAUAAAUCCCUCUAAAAAAAAUUAGAUGGAUUUUAUUAUAUAUUUAUUUGAAUGUUACGGAGAGAUAUCUAUCUAAAGGAUGCGCUGUUUAAGGAUUUACAUAGAUCAUUAAAAUCCUUCCAGCAAAUGUAAAAUUUGUAAUUUCGUUGUGUAUUCAUAAUUAUUUAAGAUUACAAGUAAUUGAAUAUAGAAGAAAUUUUUUAAGUAUUUCAAAUGUUAAUAUUUAUAAAGAUAUUUGCACAUAUUUUAUAAUAUUUAUACGGAUCGUUCUAGUGAGUGAAUUGUAAUUUUUUUUUUAUUAAAUCUUUAUUAUUUAUCAUUAGAAUAAGAUUUAAAAGACAAUAUAGUAUGUAAGAAUGUUUUUUUCUUUUUUUUUUUUCCACGUGAGGCAUUAUACAUGAAUUGAUGUUUAGUAUAUAAUAUACAUUGAAAAUUGUUAAAAAUAAAUUGAAUAUAAAAAUUUUCAUAUCAUA